CCCUGCCGCUGCUGGCAUACGCCGCCGAGCAAAGCUCCCUGGUUGCCGGCGGUGGCGGGAAUUCAUCGCGGCAGACCUUGCUCGAUGUGGUCACCCUCGCCUUCACGGAUCUGGCGCUGGGAGUGUCCCUCCCCGCGGCUGACCGCAGGAUCCGGCCGGAAUCGGGCCCUGGUGCCUCCCCGUGAAGUGGCUAUGGUCCGAGCAGCCCGCUCCAUCCUCAUACGGUCGCCCGCCUUCUCCUGAUCUGGAUAUGGGGGCGGCCAUCAUGGUGGGUGCUGCCGGGGUCGGCCACUUGACUGCCUCUUCAGCCACAUCGUUCAAUUCAACCGGGAUUGAAGAACCGCAACAAAGUCUGAUAUGGAGCUCAUCGGCGUCUACCGCGUCCCAUCGUCUAGAUCGGAUUGGGCAGGCCGGCGAUCGUCGCGAUGGCUAGGGGCUGCGGCGUGGUCGUGCUCGGAGGCUCGAUGGUUGUGCGGCUGUGCUGCGAUGGCUACAACUCCGCGGCUGGCACUGGAGUUGCCGGAUCAUAUCCAUCUCCGUUGACCAUGGCGUCAACUAUGACCAGUGCGUACCGCGGCGGCUAAACCGCUACUGAUUGCGGUGAUCACUGAUUUCUUGAGGGGUUCCCUCUCCAGAUCUAGUGGUUUGCUUCGACGGUGUGAUGCAUUCUACGGACAACGGCUUGACACAGAGGGUAUGGAUGUGCAGCGGUGGCGGUUGGUUUUCUAGACCAGUGCAUGCAGCUUCUUGGAUAGUGGAAAAGUGGUGGGAACAACACUUGAUUGAUUUCGACGAGCUCCGGGGUGACAACCUAGGACUAACACAUGUUCGUUAUGCCUGGCAAUGGUGAUGUUCUUGCGUCAUCACCAUGUCGAAGGCAUUGCUCGGAUGUGCUUGGUCUCUUUCUUCAGGGUGAAAAUCUAGAUUCUAGUGUUUAAUGGGUCGAUCCGCCGACGAUGGCGCUUGAGUGUUGCUCCCUUCCUGAAGGCGUUGCUGAUGAAGAAUCUCGUUGUCCUUGUGGUGUCAUGAGAUGGUUGCUGCGAAUAUGGCCAUUGUUGUAGUUUGUAUAUAGCGGAUUUGAUCAAUUCAAGGUUUUUUAUUUUCUCUCUCUAGGCAGUGCUUUGGUGUUCGAUGACUUUGCUAUCUGCCAUCGUGUUUUCUAUGUGUGUGUGGGUAUUGGCUGUGUGCAUCCUAUCUUGUAGAGGUCGGGUGUGUGCUCUGUUAAGCUUCAUGCAUUAGUCAACGCAAUCAAAAGUCUGAACUUAUGAAAA